CUCGUAGGCGGCCAACUAAGUCGGACGUGAAAUCCCUCGGCUCAACCGGGGAACUGCGUCUGAUACUGGAUGGCUGGAAUCCGGGAGAGGGAUGCGGAAUUCCAGGUGUAGCGGUGAAAUGCGUAGAUAUCUGGAGGAACACCGGUGGCGAAGGCGGCAUCCUGGACCGGUAUUGACGCUGAGGAGCGAAAGCCAGGGGAGCAAACG
rnacentral:rRNA from 1 species